AGACAUUGAACAGCUCAACUUUCAUGUAAAACAAAUUUCCGAGUAUUAUACGUAGCCCUGACCCAAGACCAUCAUUGGGAUCAGGUAAUCGGUGCAGUUAAAGUUCCUUAAUGUCUUAACGUUACAGGAGAAAAACGGGAACUAGAUGUCAGAUGGAAGGACAGACUGAUGAAGAUAGUUAUAGUAUAGUUAAUAACAUUUUUAGUUAACCUAGCUAGCUAAAUGCCCGUGAAUACUGGACUUCAUCACAAGAGGUGGCCAAAAAUAACGAAUGGCCAUGCUGCUCUGCUGGAUGUCGAACGCGCCGGUGAGGUGGGGGUUACUCCUCUCGCUGCCUCCGCUGCUCUUUGGCUGCGCUCCGGAGAGCAGCUGCAGCAGAGCGCCGGCAGAGAGGAGAGUCACGCAGUCUACGGGAGAGACUGCGCUCAAGUUGGCGACGACACCGAUGCUGAGGAGGACUUUACUCGUGUUUCUUGAUCGGCAUCUUUUAAACAGUUCAUUUUUAAGAAUGGCUUUUUCCGUGACAUCUCUCAGACCGAUGCUCUAACAGCGAAGUUAUUUGCAUAAAUACUGCGAGAAUGAACUUUAUUUAGAAAGUAUCCCUCCUGCAGGUAGCCUGAGGUCCAGUCCCACCAUUGUCAUCCAGCGGGAGUCUUUUUCUUGAGCUAGAGUUCAGUUUCACAACAGAUUAUAAUUCACCGCGCUCCGUUUUGCUCAAGG